rnacentral:rRNA from 1 species
GACGAACGCUGGCGGCGUGCUUAACACAUGCAAGUCGAACGGAAAGGCCCUGCUUUUGUGGGGUGCUCGAGUGGCGAACGGGUGAGUAACACGUGAGUAACCUGCCCUUGACUUUGGGAUAACUUCAGGAAACUGGGGCUAAUACCGGAUAGGAGCUCCUGCUGCAUGGUGGGGGUUGGAAAGUUUCGGCGGUUGGGGAUGGACUCGCGGCUUAUCAGCUUGUUGGUGGGGUAGUGGCUUACCAAGGCUUUGACGGGUAGCCGGCCUGAGAGGGUGACCGGCCACAUUGGGACUGAGAUACGGCCCAGACUCCUACGGGAGGCAGCAGUGGGGAAUAUUGCACAAUGGGCGGAAGCCUGAUGCAGCAACGCCGCGGGCGGGAUGACGGCCUUCGGGUUGUGAACCGCUUUCGCCUGUGACGAAGCGUGAGUGACGGUAAUGGGUAAAGAAGCACCGGCUAACUACGUG